rnacentral:snoRNA from 2 species
UAUCUUUCUUAUGAUGACUGCAUAGUUCAUAUGACUUGAAGUGAUUACAUUAUUUCGCUCCUAUCUGAUAAAUUUU